rnacentral:rRNA from 1 species
UACGUAGGUGGCAAGCGUUGUCCGGAUUUACUGGGCGUAAAGAGCGCGCAGGCGGCCAAGUCAGUCGAAUGUGAAAGCCCCCAGCUUAACUGGGGAGGGUCAUUCGAUACUGCUCGGCUCGAAGACAGGAGAGGGAAGUGGAAUUCCCGGUGUAGUGGUGAAAUGCGUAGAUAUCGGGAGGAACACCAGUGGCGAAGGCGACUUUCUGGCCUGUUCUUGACGCUGAGGCGCGAAAGCUAGGGGAGCAAACGGG